GACGAACGCUGGCGGCGUGCUUAACACAUGCAAGUCGAACGGAAAGGCCCUGCUUUUGUGGGGUGCUCGAGUGGCGAACGGGUGAGUAACACGUGAGUAACCUGCCCUUGACUUUGGGAUAACUUCAGGAAACUGGGGCUAAUACCGGAUAGGAGCUCCUGCUGCAUGGUGGGGGUUGGAAAGUUUCGGCGGUUGGGGAUGGACUCGCGGCUUAUCAGCUUGUUGGUGGGGUAGUGGCUUACCAAGGCUUUGACGGGUAGCCGGCCUGAGAGGGUGACCGGCCACAUUGGGACUGAGAUACGGCCCAGACUCCUACGGGAGGCAGCAGUGGGGAAUAUUGCACAAUGGGCGGAAGCCUGAUGCAGCAACGCCGCGUGCGGGAUGACGGCCUUCGGGUUGUAAACCGCUUUCGCCUGUGACGAAGCGUGAGGUACGGUAAUGGGUAAAGAAGCACCGGCUAACUACGUU
rnacentral:rRNA from 1 species